CGAGCGAAUGGAUUGAGAGCUUGCUCUUAUGAAGUUAGCGGCGGACGGGUGAGUAACACGUGGGUAACCUGCCCAUAAGACUGGGAUAACUCCGGGAAACCGGGGCUAAUACCGGAUAACAUUUUGAACUGCAUGGUUCGAAAUUGAAAGGCGGCUUCGGCUGUCACUUAUGGAUGGACCCGCGUCGCAUUAGCUAGUUGGUGAGGUAACGGCUCACCAAGGCAACGAUGCGUAGCCGACCUGAGAGGGUGAUCGGCCACACUGGGACUGAGACACGGCCCAGACUCCUACGGGAGGCAGCAGUAGGGAAUCUUCCGCAAUGGACGAAAGUCUGACGGAGCAACGCCGCGUGAGUGAUGAAGGCUUUCGGGUCGUAAAACUCUGUUGUUAGGGAAGAACAAGUGCUAGUUGAAUAAGCUGGCACCUUGACGGUACCUAACCAGAAAGCCACGGCUAACUACGUGCCAGCAGCCGCGGUAAUACGUAGGUGGCAAGCGUUAUCCGGAAUUAUUGGGCGUAAAGCGCGCGCAGGUGGUUUCUUAAGUCUGAUGUGAAAGCCCACGGCUCAACCGUGGAGGGUCAUUGGAAACUGGGAGACUUGAGUGCAGAAGAGGAAAGUGGAAUUCCAUGUGUAGCGGUGAAAUGCGUAGAGAUAUGGAGGAACACCAGUGGCGAAGGCGACUUUCUGGUCUGUAACUGACACUGAGGCGCGAAAGCGUGGGGGAGCAAACAGGAUUAGAUACCCUGGUAGUCCACGCCGUAAACGAUGAGUGCUAAGUGUUAGAGGGUUUCCGCCCUUUAGUGCUGAAGUUAACGCAUUAAGCACUCCGCCUGGGGAGUACGGCCGCAAGGCUGAAACUCAAAGGAAUUGACGGGGGCCCGCACAAGCGGUGGAGCAUGUGAUUAUUUC
rnacentral:rRNA from 1 species